ACGCUGGCGGCAGGCCUAACACAUGCAAGUCGAGCGGUAGAGAGAAGCUUGCUUCUCUUGAGAGCGGCGGACGGGUGAGUAAUGCCUAGGAAUCUGCCUGGUAGUGGGGGAUAACGCUCGGAAACGGACGCUAAUACCGCAUACGUCCUACGGGAGAAAGCAGGGGACCUUCGGGCCUUGCGCUAUCAGAUGAGCCUAGGUCGGAUUAGCUAGUUGGUGAGGUAAUGGCUCACCAAGGCUACGAUCCGUAACUGGUCUGAGAGGAUGAUCAGUCACACUGGAACUGAGACACGGUCCAGACUCCUACGGGAGGCAGCAGUGGGGGAUAUUGGACAAUGGGCGAAAGCCUGAUCCAGCCACGCCGCGUGUGUGAAGAAGGUCUUCGGAUUGUAAAGCACUUUAAGUUGGGAGGAAGGGCAGUAAAUUAAUACUUUGCUGUUUUGACGUUACCGACAGAAUAAGCACCGGCUAACUCUGUGCCAGCAGCCGCGGUAAUACAGAGGGUGCAAGCGUUAAUCGGAAUUACUGGGCGUAAAGCGCGCGUAGGUGGUUCGUUAAGUUGGAUGUGAAAUCCCCGGGCUCAACCUGGGAACUGCAUUCAAAACUGUCGAGCUAGAGUAUGGUAGAGGGUGGUGGAAUUUCCUGUGUAGCGGUGAAAUGCGUAGAUAUAGGAAGGAACACCAGUGGCGAAGGCGACCACCUGGACUGAUACUGACACUGAGGUGCGAAAGCGUGGGAGCAAAC
rnacentral:rRNA from 1 species